rnacentral:tRNA from 1 species
GCCUGGCUGGCUCAGUUGGUAGAGCAUAUGACUCUUAAUCUCAGGGUUGGGUGGUGAGUUCAAGCCUCAUGUUGGGCA